rnacentral:rRNA from 1 species
AAAAGUGAAAGACGGUCUUGCUGUCACUUAUAGAUGGAUCCGCGCUGCAUUAGCUAGUUGGUAAGGUAACGGCUUACCAAGGCAACGAUGCAUAGCCGACCUGAGAGGGUGAUCGGCCACACUGGAACUGAGACACGGUCCAGACUCCUACGGGAGGCAGCAGUAGGGAAUCUUCCGCAAUGGGCGAAAGCCUGACGGAGCAACGCCGCGUGAGUGAUGAAGGUCUUCGGAUCGUAAAACUCUGUUAUUAGGGAAGAACAUAUGUGUAAGUAACUGUGCACAUCUUGACGGUACCUAAUCAGAAAGCCACGGCUAACUACGUGCCAGCAGCCGCGGUAAUACGUAGGUGGCAAGCGUUAUCCGGAAUUAUUGGGCGUAAAGCGCGCGUAGGCGGUUUUUUAAGUCUGAUGUGAAAGCCCACGGCUCAACCGUGGAGGGUCAUUGGAAACUGGAAAACUUGAGUGCAGAAGAGGAAAGUGGAAUUCCAUGUGUAGCGGUGAAAUGCGCAGAGAUAUGGAGGAACACCAGUGG